GUGUCGCGGCGCGGCUCCGGGCGGGAGGUCUGCGCUGCUCCUCGCACGGCCUCGCGCUGCCGAGGGGACGUUCGGUUGCGAUCGCGGAGCGGGACUGCAGCCUCCGCGUGCCGGGCUGAGGCGAAGGAAAGGCGCGCGUCGGGGCGGUAAGGCCGAGCUGCCCGUGCUUCUGUGCCUGACGGUCCCGGUCGGAGCGAAGCGGUCCACGGCUGAAUUGUCAUCGGUGGGAAACGCCUCCCGGCCGGCUGGCUCAGCUGCCGCCGUGGUUUAAAAAGCAAACAAACGUCCCUGUCAAGAAAAAUUGGCACCGUACAAAGCAAAAGGAGCACUGAAAAUGAGAAAAGGACGGGCAAGUUCUGUCAGCACCCUCAAAGCCAAUUUACUCUUGGCUUUUAUUUUUUUACCUCUGCCUUUGUUGUGAAUUACAGGCCUACCCCUUAACAUCUCAAACAGAACUGAAAAGCGGAAGGCCGACAGAAGCGUACCUGCAGAACUGCUUUGCAGGGUAUUUGACCCGGCUGUUGCAGUGAUAGCAGCAUCCCGCCAGCGUGAGCCUGGUUUCAUCUCUCUGCACCCGCGCUGUUUUGUCAGCAGCAGCGGCUGCUUGUUGCUCCGGGUGCAGAGCAGCACGGCCAGCUGCCAGCUGCAGUUACGAAGGGAGCAGCAGUAAUUUUUCCAUAUCCAGGAACCACGUGAGAGCAGCAGUGAAAACCACUGAGCACCCUGGCUGGAAAGGGACCAGAGGAGAAUCGCACCUGGAGAAAAAGAUCCCAUCCAUCUUUCCAAAGGAGAGGAUACACCGGGCUGGUGACAGCCCCUCCUCUUUCCGUGAGCAGUUAUUCAGCUCACAGAAACUCAAGAGCCAAAUGUUUGGAGCAGACAUGGAGAACAGCUUUUCAAAUCUCACUUUCAGACCCAUCCAAAUCUGUGUUCCAAGAAACAGAAAAAGGAUUUCAGAAUAUACCAACUCCGUUCCGUGAGUGAAUGACCUUCAAACAACUUGAAGCAGGUUGAAUUUACAUUUUACUUCAAAAAAAGGCAAAGUACAUACAUGAGGAGAAGAUGGGAGGAACAACAGUUAUAUCUGAAACCAGGCUUCUACCAUUUCUGCCUAAGCUUACCAGCUGUGUCUGAAUCAGCAGGGCUCUGGCCUGCCCUAGCACACUUGCUUACCAUAGGAACAGGACUGUGGAUUGAGGAAACAUUUUCAAAGUUGAGGCCCAAAUGGAAAGAGUAAGAUAUCAUACACAGGGUAAGUUUAUAGUACACAGCUUUGUUUUUAAAUGAUGUAACGCAACAGCAGGAAGGAGAAGUAGUAGUUAACAAUUACUAACACUAGAAUAAUCAAAUUUGUAUGUUAUACAUAUACAGCGACUAACUGCUUUACAAAAAAAGCAAAAUAAUACAAUAUAUUGUCACAUGUAUUUACAGUGUAGUAAAUAUACUUUUCUGUCAAAUUUUACACAAAAAAUAUUUACAGGUGAAUAUACUGCAUUAAAAAAAAUGGUGGGACCAACACUAAAAGUGACUUUCUGUGGUAAGUUUGUUGCAUAACAGUAAGACGUGCUUCAUUACAUUUGUAAAAAUUAAAGUUAGGAUGAAACAGAAGAAGCCCUAAAACCUACAACCCAUUUAGGAAGAGCACUGGAAUGCUCCCGUGUGCUCAGUCCACAAUACUUAUUUGAAAAGUUUCCUAUUCUUGGAAACUUCAUGCACAUUAAAGCAGAAACAUUGGCAUAAUAAACAGGUAGGUUAUGUACUAUUCAAAUACUACUGAAUUAUCUUUAAGUCAGGGAAAUACAAACACAAAAUGUUAAUCAUCUUUACAGUACUUAACUGUAGUUAGUACGUAAUGGAUAGCAUGUUCUAAAACAGGGGUGUCAAACAUACAGUCCCCAUAGUGUAGCUACGUGGUCCACGUGUUACAAUCAGAUUUUUCUGAAUUUAAGUUUUCAUUUUGAGGUACACAGACUGCAUGGCUGCAGAGGUGAUCCUCAGACCAUGAACAGGGCAGCCUGCACAGUGCUGAGCGCAUGUAGGCUGCCUGCUGCCUGAAACAGUGACUGGAAGGUCUGAACUUGGGAGUCUCCCACUUCUUACAUCAGCUUUCAAGCCUGAUCUUGAAGCGUCAUCACCAGCAAGUAACUGCUAAUCACCAGCAUCGAUGGAGUGAAAGGAUGAGGAGAGGGUUGAAAAGGCUGGAUUAGAAAUGGAGAGCAGUGCUCAUAGGAAUGAAACACAGCAGGACACAAUAUGCAAAACAAGAAAAGGGAACAAAUAAAGGAGUAUAUCAGAAAGAAAGAAAAAACUAAAGCAAUAGCAAUGGCUGUUAUAGGGAGCGGGUUUCCGGGUUGAUGGAUGACAGUAAGGCACUGACCAACCAUUUACUAAUUAAAGGUUACAAAAUGAAAGGAAGGUGUUUUCCCCCUUGAUCUAAGCACAAACUUCCUAAGCCCUGGUCCUACUGUGUAUCAGGGCAAACAUAGCCCUGAAUUACAUCUCUGCUGUAGACAGUGGCCACCUAGAGUACUGCAUUCAGGUCUGGGCUCCCCAAAAGGCAGACACAGACCUGUCGGAGCAAGUCCAGAAGAGACCAGGAGGAUGCUCAGAGGAGGGUUGAAGCACCUCUCCUAUAGAGACAGGCUGAUGGAGUUGGGCUGUUCAGCCUGGAGAAGGCUCUGAAUACCUCACAGCGGCCUUCGCAGGCUGCAGGAAAGGACUGUCAGGGAGUGUAACAGCAGAACGGGUGAGGGCUUCAAACUGAAAGGGUAGACUUAGACCAGGUAAAAGGAAGAAAUUCCUCACAAGGAGGGUGGUGAGGCCCUGGCACAGGCUGCCCAGAGCAGCUGUGGGUGCUCCAUGCCUGGAGGUGCUGGAGGCCAGGCUGGGUGGGCCCUGGGCAGCCUGUGCUGGUGGGUGGUGCCCACCAUGGCAGGGGCUGCAAUAUGAGCUUUAAGGCCCCUUCUAUCCAAACCAUAUUCUAUGGUUCUGUGUCCACAGUUACACUCAAGUUCAGCUCUUUUUACCUAAAAUGUUUGACACCCCUGCUCUGAAAGUUCGGGUCCCCUCACUGAACUACACAGUGAAGACAUUACACGACUCCUACCCAGGAAACAAAUUUUGCUGACUUGCUUUAUCAAUGUAUCAUUUGUUUCAGUCAGGACCAAGAGCUUACAAUAGUUCUAGCUCUCACUGAAAAGGUCAGUUUGGUUUCACCGUACUCAUAUCUCUAAGAAUGCAUUAGUUCUUAUUUCGUGAUGCACUUUUUAUAGAGGCAAUGCAAAAUAUUGCAAGAGCUGCUCUCAAACGCACUCAGUCCAAACAGAGCAGAGUUGGCAGUUCAUCUGGAAUUAUUUUUAAAGAAAAUUUGCUCACAGAGAAACAACUGAAAAUUAUCUUUUUGUAUCAGUAAAUUACAAGAGAUUCUUUUUUCCUCCCACCUAUGGAAGGAAUAACUCUCCAGGUUUCUACAAUUCAUUGUCUUCAGCAAAACAGGAAGGGCUGGGAACAGCUUGGUUCAGUAUAAUCAGGUGCAAACCGACAGCGAUACCAAGGUGGCUAUUAGCAAUUUGAUGUAUGAGAUGAGAAAGGUUUUUAAAUCAGUGACUCCCAAAAUUACAAAUGCAUAGCAGCUUAAAAACAUGGCAAAAGUCACUGCUCUAUUCCUUAAUUUAGGUCUAGCCUUGUAACCCUUCCAUAGAUCUCACAGUUCAGGAAUCAUGUUUCUACUGCAGCUCCUACACAAUCAAGAAUAAAACAAUGUGGUUAAUUGCACAACUUUUUGUAUUUUCCAAUGAUUCUAUUUCAAGACCGCUAAUUCUACAUCUUCCUCUUGUUUUGGCAAACUAUUUGCAUAUUAAGCUUGUGUUCAUAGUUCUUCCAGGACUGUAAACAAAUUAGAAGAAUUGUUAUUUUAUGAAUCAAUACAAUAAAGGCAUUUUUAUUUACAUAAAUGUUACAUUGUUACUGUGUGGAUACACGUGAAUUAUGUGCUAUAUCAAUAAAAUCUGAACACUUAUAAUUGUACCAUUCUCUAAUAA